UAGCAUAAUACCCUCCAGUUCAUUUCUACAGUUUGUUACUAGAGAAUAUUCUCUGAAGUGUAGAGGACCUGAAACCUCAAGGAGGAGGGACAUUGUUCUCUCCUGAGCAUGAACGUGGUUUUAGGUGUUGUUUCCACAGCUGCCCAUUGCCACUGAUGAUCGUUCUUCUCCUCCUUUGGACGGUAAGAGAGAGAGGACGCAGUGUGAGUGCU